rnacentral:rRNA from 1 species
GACGAACGCUGGCGGCGUGCUUAACACAUGCAAGUCGAACGGAAAGGCCCUGCUUUUGUGGGGUGCUCGAGUGGCGAACGGGUGAGUAACACGUGAGUAACCUGCCCUUGACUUUGGGAUAACUUCAGGAAACUGGGGCUAAUACCGGAUAGGAGCUCCUGCUGCAUGGUGGGGGUUGGAAAGUUUCGGCGGUUGGGGAUGGACUCGCGGCUUAUCAGCUUGUGGGUGGGGUAGUGGCUUACCAAGGCUUUGACGGGUAGCCGGCCUGAGAGGGUGAACGGCCACAUUGGGACUGAGAGACGGCCCAGACUCCUACGGGAGGCAGCAGUGGGGAAUAUUGCACAAUGGGCGGAAGCCUGAUGCGGCAACGCCGCGUGCGGGAUGACGGCCUUCGUGUUGUAAACCGCUUUCGCCUGUGACGAAGCGUGAGUGACGGUAAUGGGUAAAGAAGCACCGGCUAACUACGUG